UCCUGCAGCCGCUGCCGC
rnacentral:miRNA from 1 species